AGUUUAUUUCGCAGCACACAGCAUGGUGUGUGUAGAUAAAUGCUGAUGAUAAAGGCUCCUCAUUUACUUGUUUCUAUUUCUCUCCGGCAAAGAAGAAGUGAAAUUCUCAAAACAAAAGAGAUGUUUCCAGGAAAAACAGAAAGUAAUGCUGCUUGCCCUCUCCACUGUCUGUUCUGCUUCUCUUUUGGUGCCCUCUGUAGAGCAGAGAGUCAUUCUACAUAAACACUGAGCCCAAAAGAAUCCAUCUGAAAUGGUCUCCUAGUGAACCGAGUCCAUUGGAAGUUAGAGAAGCAUCAAGGCAACCAGGGCAAGAGCUGUUCAUCUCAAGUUGAA
rnacentral:lncRNA from 1 species